rnacentral:lncRNA from 1 species
CGGUGGUAGUAUCAUGUUUGUAUGCUAUCAUUUUUUCCAAGUAUUUAAGUAUUUUAAGAUGUUAUCUCUUUAGUUUUCACAGCGUGCUAGGAAGGAGGAAGGACAUGUUGUUCUCACCUAGCAGUAAAAUUGAGCUGGAAGAUAUACGAUCUUGUUACACAAAACAACCACUUCAUCUCUACAGAACCUUAUUAUUGGAAUAUAUGAUUAACGUGAACCUGCAAGCUGCCCUGAACAGAGUCAGUAGGAAGCCCAGUGGCACCCAGGCGAGGUUUCCACGUUGGAUUCACAUAGGUCACAAAAAAAUGCGCUACUAUCACCACCACACCUGGCUAUUUGGGCCAUCAGAAGCCUCUUUUUCUCAGGAAGGAAGGCCUGUGGCUUACGUUCCAUGGAGAUCAGGGAGUGAUUCUCCUGCCUUUGUAGCUUCUGCCUUGUUACAUUGGAAGUUUUGAAUAGAAACUUCAUCUGUGGGAGGGUGGUUACAGAAAGCAAGUUUAAAGUGAUUAAAUGUUUCAACAAGAGUGUUUUGAUUAUAAGAUCUGAAAAACUGAGUAAGUAACUAGAAUUCACUGCUUAGAAGAGACAGAAUAGAAUCGAACUGUUACCAAUAAAAGAUUGGGUCGUCUUGUUUUUUUGUUUGUUUUGUUUUUUGAGAUGGGGUCUUGCUCUGGC